AUUGAACGCUGGCGGCAGGCCUAACACAUGCAAGUCGAACGAGUGGCGGACGGGUGAGUAAUGUCUGGGAAACUGCCUGAUGGAGGGGGAUAACUACUGGAAACGGUAGCUAAUACCGCAUACCAUCAGAUGUGCCCAGAUGGGUGUAGCUUGUUGGUGGGGUAACGGCUAACCAAGUCGACGAUCCCUAGCUGGUCUGAGAGGAUGACCAGCCACACUGGAGCGGAGACACGGUCAAGACUCCUACGGAAGGCCGCAGUGUGGAAUAUUGCACAAUGGGCGCAAGCCUGAUGUAGCCAUGCCGAGUGUAUGAAGAAGGCCUUCGGGUUGUAAAGUACUUUCAGCGGGGAGGCGUUACCCGCAGAAGAAGCACCGGCUAACUCCGUGUCAGCAGCCGCGGUAAUUC
rnacentral:rRNA from 1 species